GUCACGUGGCCUGUCCCUACUCCCUAUGCAGCAUCUUCCCGGCUUCCUGCUUCCAAACCAGGGCCCCGAACGCUAGACACCUUUAGUGCAAUUAAAAUGCCAACACAAGAAGAGUCAUCCAGUGUGCAAGCUUUAAUCAGUGUUGCAUAGAAAUCCCUGUAGUUAACGUGUUCCUGCAGAACGCUUUCCUUCUAGUGUUCCACGCGGGAUGGCGUCCUCAUUUGGGUGAAACCGACACAGGAAUGAGCCGCGGGGUGCCUCUCAGUUGUGUUUCCGCCCUAAGGAAGGGAAUGAGAAAGGGGCCCUUUAAGAGCUGAGUGUUUCCUGAAGUCACUUAACCUCUCCUUGGGGUCGGCCUGCUCCUUUGUAAUGAGAUAUGCAGGGUGGAUGGUGCUUAGACCAUCGAGGUCCUUUUGACUUAUGUGAAUCCAUCCAUCCGUUUAUCCCAUUUAUCACCCACCCCUCCGCAAGUUCACCCAGUCCGUCCAUUUACCCGACAUUAAUCCAGGCUGCCCAUCGAGCCCAGACGUCCGUUCUUGCAUCAGUUGGUCCAUUCAAUUACUCCCUCCAUCCAAUUAACCGUUCGAUCCGUUCAUCUACCCAUCUUCCAGCCACCCAGCAACCAGUGUUUGACCAGUUCAUCAAAUGCCCACCCUCCCAUCAAUACUCAUACCUCCAUCUUUCCAACUACGUCCAACCAAGUCACCAUCCGUUCACCAUCCACGUCCUUCCAGCCACGUCCAACUAUCGUGGAUCAACCGUUACCCAACCAACUAAUUUCUUUCUCCCACCAGUGCAUCGAUCCAGUUCAGCUAACCACAUCCAUUCGAGUUGCUGGUCAUUCAACAAGCAUUUCACUCCACCCUCCCUCCCUCCAUCUCUCCCUCCCUCCAUCCCUCCCUCCAUCUCUCCAUUCCUCCCUCCAUCUCUCCCUCCCUCCAUCCAUCCCUCCCUCCCUCCCUCCCUUCCUCCCUCCAUCCACUCAAGCAAUCACGUAACCCUUCUAUCACCCAUGCCUCUACCUAACCAACCUUCUAAUUUAUGGAUCCACCCUGCCUCUCAUCCACCAGCCAAGCUUCCAUCUAGCUAAUCUGCCAUCUGUCCAUCCUCCCAAUAACUCAUCCAAUUUAUCCAAAGGACUAGUCCAGCAAUGCAUCACAUAUACAACCAGCCGGAGCCACCGUUGCCCCUCCCUCUUGGCCCUUGCCUGUCGUUCCUCUGUGUUCCCCCUUGGAGGCUGCAGCCUUCUCCUCCCUGCCCCCGAGGUCCAGCUGGGCUGCCGCCCCUCCCCUGGGGCGCCCUGUGGCCCUUCCCGUUUGAAAGGUUCUUCCUCUUCUUGGAGUAGCUGCAGGAGUGGGUGAUGGGCCGUGCGGGACCGGAGUGGGAGUGCGUGGUGUGACUGUGAUGCUUUGGCACGUUGGGGCUUGACCUCUGGCUGCAGCGGCCAGUGGCGAAACUCUGGCUACAGUUCUGGCAGUGGUGGCUGCAGUCGCACUGGCUGCAGGGACAUCGGACGGAUUAAACGGGAGCCUCCGUGUCCAGCCCUCGGCUCAGGUCCAGCUCACCGGAAGAGCUCAAUAAACGUUGUGUAUGC
ensembl:lncRNA